rnacentral:lncRNA from 1 species
AUGAGCCUUUAAUUCCUCCAUUCGGAAGUGAGACUGCAGCUGUUGUAUAUCACCAUUAUUGUUAGUUCUUAAAAACAUGUCAAAGGUUUUGUUUUGCUUUGUUUAAAAAAAAAGACUUAAAUAAGAUAUUGACAGACAUUUAGAGAGGGAAGCAAUGCUUUCAAACAGGAGUUAAAAUUUCAAGUUAAUGUUUUAAUAAUUACGUCUUCUUUUGGCUCAGUUUCACUUGGAUCUUAGUCCCACAAUCAUGUCUUCAAAAUAUUCUGAAUAAAUCACCACCCAAAAAAAAAAGCCUUAACUCUCAUUCAGGAAAAUGAUGAGUUUUACUGGGUUCUAAAAAUGUUUCAAGAACAAAAUUAAGUGAGUAAUCACAUUUGACUUAUAAAGCAAGAGUAGAGCCUGAAUACAAUGCAGUCAGGCACCUCUGAGCUUUCUGGCCAAAAUAAUAAAAAUAAAAAUAAAAAAAGUAUAUAGCCUUUCCUGACUUCUCUUGUUAAAAUCUCAGAAAAAAGAAGUCUUCUGGCUUCCACUGGUGAUUCUUAACCUCAUUCUCUCAUGAGGGCCCAGUUCUAUUAGUAUUGGGUAAUUCCAAUUGGGUAAUAACUAAGAAAUUGGAGAGCCCCUUCCACUCAACCCACACCUUUGUUUAAAAAGUGUCUUUAGGAAGAGCUGGCCCCAAAAACCUUAAACCUUGCUACUCAAUGGUCCUCAGGGACCAGCAGCAGCAGCAGCAUCUAAGAGCUUGAUAGAAAUGUAGAAUCUCAGGCUCCACCCCCAACUCACUGAAUUAGAAUCUGAAGUGUAAUAAACUUCCCAGGUGAUUUAUAUGCACAUGAAAGUUUAAGUAGCACUACUACCAGAUCAUUACUGUGUAACCUCACUCAGAGAUUUUCCACCUGUGAGCCCU